rnacentral:rRNA from 1 species
AUUGAACGCUGGCGGAAUGCUUUACACAUGCAAGUCGAACGGCAGCACGGGGGCAACCCUGGUGGCGAGUGGCGAACGGGUGAGUAAUACAUCGGAACGUGCCCAGUCGUGGGGGAUAACGUAGCGAAAGUUACGCUAAUACCGCAUACGAUCUACGGAUGAAAGCGGGGGACCGUAAGGCCACGCGCGAUUGGAGCGGCCGAUGUCAGAUUAGGUAGUUGGUGAGGUAAAGGCUCACCAAGCCGACGAUCUGUAGCUGGUCUGAGAGGACGACCAGCCACACUGGGACUGAGACACGGCCCAGACUCCUACGGGAGGCAGCAGUGGGGAAUUUUGGACAAUGGGCGCAAGCUUGAUCCAGCCAUUCCGCGUGCAGGACGAAGGCCUUCGGGUUGUAAACUGCUUUUGUACGGAACGAAAAGGCUCUGGUUAAUACCUGGGGCUCAUGACGGUACCGUAAGAAUAAGCACCGGCUAACUACGUGCCAGCCGCCGCAGUAA